AUUGAACGCUGGCGGCAGGCCUAACACAUGCAAAUCGAACGGUAACAGGAAGAAGCUUGCUUCUUUGCUGACGAGUGGCGGACGGGUGAGUAAUGUCUGGGAAACUGCCUGAUGGAGGGGGAUAACUACUGGAAACGGUAGCUAAUACCGCAUAACGUCGCAAGACCAAAGAGGGGGACCUUCGGGCCUCUUGCCAUCGGAUGUGCCCAGAUGGGAUUAGCUAGUAGGUGGGGUAACGGCUCACCUAGGCGACGAUCCCUAGCUGGUCUGAGAGGAUGACCAGCCACACUGGAACUGAGACACGGUCCAGACUCCUACGGGAGGCAGCAGUGGGGAAUAUUGCACAAUGGGCGCAAGCCUGAUGCAGCCAUGCCGCGUGUAUGAAGAAGGCCUUCGGGUUGUAAAGUACUUUCAGCGGGGAGGAAGGGAGUAAAGUUAAUACCUUUGCUCAUUGACGUUACCCGCAGAAGAAGCACCGGCUAACUCCGUG
rnacentral:rRNA from 1 species